AAUACAAUGACUUUUUAAUAUAACUUGCACUGUUCUGUAUCCAAAGUUGGAUUUACUCAUGUAGUUUGUUCAAUCAGAACCAACAUAUUUUAUAAAUAAGCCUCACACAUGCACAGUCUCUAUAUUACAAUAUUAAUAAGUCUAUCUUAAGCUUUCACAGAAUCAUUUAGGAUGGAAAAAAGCCUUGAAGAGCAUCAAGUCCAACCUUUGACUGACUGAUCACCACCCUGUCAACUAAACCACAGAAUUAAGUGCCGCGUCCAGUCAUUUCUUGAACACCUCCAUAGACAAAAGCUGGCUGGGAGUUGCUGAUCAUGCUCAUGGGCAGACUGGGUAUCAUUUAGAAGGUGUGUGAACACCAUGUAAAUCCUGAUGCAGAUUGGCCUCACUGAUUUUUGCUGUUGACAAAGUGAGAGAAGACACAUGUCAUAAGAGACCUGAGAUGCUCUGAGGAAGCUGAAAUGCAUUUGAGGGAUCCUUCUGGGGAAUGGUAUAUAUGGGAUCAGAAGGGUUCUCCCUUAUGGCUGUAUCAUAAGCACAGGUUAGAAGAGAUGACGCAGCCCCUGUGCACUUCUGAAGCGUGCUUAGACCCUUACUUGUCCCAAAUGUUGUCAUAGAAAUGAAAAAAAGAAAACAUCUGAAUCUUAAAUAUUGGGUAAUUUCCAGAUAACAAUGUGCAAUUC